rnacentral:piRNA from 1 species
UCAGCUGCCAGCAUGGCAAAAACACAGCA